rnacentral:rRNA from 1 species
UACGAAGGGGGCUAGCGUUGCUCGGAAUCACUGGGCGUAAAGGGCGCGUAGGCGGCCAUUCAAGUCGGGGGUGAAAGCCUGUGGCUCAACCACAGAAUUGCCUUCGAUACUGUUUGGCCUGAGUAUGGCAGAGGUCAGUGGAACUGCGAGUGUAGAGGUGAAAUUCGUAGAUAUUCGCAAGAACACCAGUGGCGAAGGCGGCUGACUGGGCCAUUACUGACGCUGAGGCGCGAAAGCGUGGGGAGCAAACAGG